rnacentral:rRNA from 1 species
CAAGUCGAGCGCUGAUUACAGGGUAGCAAUAUUCUGUGGUCGGAGCGGCGCAAGGGUGCGUAACACGUGGGUAAUCUGCCUUGAAGUUUGGAAUAACUUGCUGAAAGGCGAGCUAAUACCGGAUGUGACAAUUGAGAGGCAUCUUCCGAUUGUCAAAGCUGGGGACCGUAAGGCCUGGCGCUUCAUGAUGAGCCCGCGGCCUAUCAGCUAGUUGGUGAGGUAACGGCUCACCAAGGCUAAGACGGGUAGCUGGUCUGAGAGGACGACCAGCCACACUGGAACUGAGACACGGUCCAGACACCUACGGGUGGCAGCAGUCGAGAAUUUUUCACAAUGGGCGCAAGCCUGAUGGAGCGACGCCGCGUGGGGGAUGAAUGGCUUCGGCCCGUAAACCCCUGUCAUUUGCGAGCAAUUCGCAUUAUUUAAAAGAUGAUGCGUUGAUAGUAGCGAAAGAGGAAGGGACGGCUAACUCUGUGCCAGCAGCCGCGGUAAUACAGAGGUCCCGAGCGUUGUUCGGAUUCACUGGGCGUAAAGGGUGCGUAGGUGGCGAGGUAAGUCGGAUGUGAAAGCUCGGAGCUCAACUCCGAAAUGGCAUUGGAAACUACCUUGCUCGAGGGUUGGAGGGGGGACUGGAAUGCUUGGUGUAGCAGUGAAAUGCGUAGAUAUCAAGCGGAACACCAGUGGCGAAGGCGAGUCCCUGGACAACUCCUGACACUGAGGCACGAAAGCUAGGGGAGCAAACAGGAUUAGAUACCCUGGUAGUCCUAGCCGUAAACGGUGCUUGCUUGCUGUAAAAGGAAUCGACCCCUUUUGUG